GGGGGUAUAGCUCAGCUGGGAGAGCGCUUGCAUGGCAUGCAAGAGGUCGUCGGUUCAAUCCCGUCUACCUCCA
rnacentral:tRNA from 1 species